AAACCAACAGGGAUUGCCUCAGUAACGGCGAGUGAAGCGGCAAAAGCUCAAAUUUGAAAUCCUUCGGGAGUUGUAAUUUGUAGGUUGGGAGACCCCGCGGCUAGUGGCACCAAGUCCCUUGGAACAGGGCGCCUUAGAGGGUGAGAGCCCCGUAGGUACCACAAUACCGUCUUGUGUCUCCUCUCCAAAGAGUCGAGUUGUUUGGGAAUGCAGCUCAAAGUGGGUGGUAAAUUCCAUCUAAAGCUAAAUACCGGCGAGAGACCGAUAGCGAACAAGUACAGUGAUGGAAAGAUGAAAAGCACUUUGAAAAGAGAGUGAAACAGUACGUGAAAUUGUUGAAAGGGAAGGGCUUGCAAGCAGACACGGCCUCGUGCCGGGCCAGCAUCGGCUGCUAGGGGUGGAUAAGGAACAAGGAAUGUAGCUCCUCGGAGUAUUAUAGCCUUGCGCGAUACACCCACUGGCGACCGAGGCCUGCGGUAUUCCUACCUAGGAUGCUGGCGUAAUGGUUGCAAGCCGC
rnacentral:rRNA from 1 species